CCAAACAGACGUUUAUUUGCUGGUAACUGCCAUUUCAACAAUACCACCGGAAUAUUCAUAAUUUAAAUGUUUUUAUUACACCACAACUUUGGAAAACAUCUCUAAGCAAGGCAUAUAAGCCAAGGUUACAUAGUACGUCAGGAAAGGGAGCUCAACCUCACAAGACAGACCGUCAUGUAGAGACAACUGCUACACAACAUGGGAAGAACUGCCAUAGAGAUGUAAAGACCCAAAAUGAAGAAGCCAGAACACAUGAACACGAAACCAGCCAACCAACAAACACAGCAUCAUGGAGCGUAGAGUCUGGGGACCGACUGCCGGGUGCUGAGGAAUGCGGGUGGAGGCAGAGUGGCAAUCACCUGAGUUUCGAUCAGGCAGAGCUGAGCUUGAAUUUUAAUUCACAAGUUAAGCUGCAGAACCUAAGACGAUGGAGGAAAAGUUUUCCUUUCUUACAAGAUCACGCAGCAUUUGCUUCACUUACUGAGGAGCCCUGAGCCACCCUGUAUAAAAUCUGAACACCCGAAGACCCCCAUACUGUGAGGAAGCCCGACCACAUGGAGAGGCCACAUGAAGGUUCUCAACUCAGAACCCCAGCUGAGGUCCCAGCCUACAACCAGCAUCAACCACCA